rnacentral:rRNA from 1 species
UACGUAGGGCGCAAGCGUUGUCCGGAAUUAUUGGGCGUAAAGAGCUCGUAGGCGGCCUGUCGCGUCGGAUGUGAAAGCCCGGGGCUUAACCCCGGGUCUGCAUUCGAUACGGGCAGGCUAGAGUUCGGUAGGGGAGAUCGGAAUUCCUGGUGUAGCGGUGAAAUGCGCAGAUAUCUGGAGGAACACCGGUGGCGAAGGCGGAUCUCUGGGCCGAUACUGACGCUGAGGAGCGAAAGCGUGGGGAGCGAACAGG